rnacentral:rRNA from 1 species
GACGAAACGUGCGAACGUUGUUCGGAUUCACUGGGCUUAAAGGGCGCGUAGGCGGUUCGUCAAGUCCGGGGUGAAAUCUUUCGGCUUAACCGGAAAAUUGCCUUGGAUACUGGCGAGCUUGAAGAGGGUAGGGGCUGUGGGAACUGCCAGUGGAGCGGUGAAAUGCGUUGAUAUUGGCAGGAACGCCGGUGGCGAAAGCGCACGGCUGGACCCUUUUUGACGCUGAGGCGCGAAAGCUAGGGUAGCGAACGGG